AUGCCUUCUCUGCCCUGCCUGGCCGAUGUCCAGGUUUCCCAUGGGCCUCUCACAGCACACUCACCUUGGCAUGUGGGUGCCCAUCUUGGCACAGCCAGCUUCCCAGAGUGCCACAUACCCAGCUGGAAUUUGGACAGAGAGCUUCCUAGGGGUGGAUUCUCCCCUGAUGGUCAUGGGCAGUAUUGCAACUCAGCUCUAGGAGACAAGAGACACUUGCUGAAAAGAGAAACCACCAACAGAACAAAGAGACAACCCAUAGCAUGGGGAAAAGUUUUUUUUGCCAGCUAUUCAUCAGAUAUGGGACUAUUAUCUAGAAUAUAUAAAGAACUAAAAAAAAAUCAGACUUCCCCCCAAAUUUAAAGACAACCCAAAAAUGGGCAUCUACAAUGAAAAGACAUUUCUCAAAGAAGUAGAAACAGCAAAUAAACAGAUGAAAAAAUGUUCAACAUCUCCAGUCAUUCGAGAUGCAGAUGAAAACAACACUGUGAUUCCAUCUCACUCCAGAUGAAGAAUGGCUGCUAUCAAGAAAUCACACAUUAACAAAUGCUGGCAGGGCUGUGGGGAGAAAGGAACCCUUCUCCAUGGUUGGUGGGAGUGCGGACUGGUGCAACCAUGGUGGAAAUCAGUGUGGAGACUCCUCAAAGAACUAAAACUAGAGGUUCCAUUUGACCCAGCUAUUCCUCUUCUUGAUAUCUUCCCAGAAGAAUUAAAAAGCAUCAUACGGCAGUGAUACAUGCACCCAUAUUUAUAGCAGCACAGUGUGUAAUAGCUAAAUCUUCAAAACAGCCCAAAUGCCAUUCAACUGAUGAGUGGAUAAACAAGAUGUGGUCUUAACACAAUGGAGUGCUACUCUGCCAUAAAGAAGGAUGAGCCUCAGACACUCAUAGCUAAGUGGAUGGACCUGGAGACCAUACUCUUCAGUGAAACAAGUUGGACGCACAUGUUUAAAUACUGCAUUGUUUCUCUGGUGUGAGAAACCAAAAGCGGAAAUAUAGACUGAAAUCUAUAACGGAUGUUAGGAAAUGGGAAGAAAGUAUCCAAAUGGGAAAGAGAACAAGAGAGGAGAGAGGGAGAAAGCAAGGAAGGGACAAGAAAAAAAAAGUGGAAAUAGAAGGAAAAGAUGGAAACAAAGCUUUUGUACAUAGGGAGGGGAGGGGGCUUGAGGGGGGAUGGGAUGAAAUAAAAUAAAAUUUAUUACCAAAAAAAAACCCCUGCACUUGCUGAAAUCACUUUUGAAAAGUAACCGAAAGGAUCCCAGGACUAGUGGGGUGAAGUACUUGAACGCAGCCACCAGCGCGGACCAAGCUUGACAAGAGAGGCCGGGGGAAGCCAGAUGGCCACAUGCUGUGCAGGUCCAGGAACAGGCAGCAUCCAGACCAGGCGACUCCACGUCCACAGAAAGGAGGUGAGGGCUUCCGGGGCCCCGGCACAGGGUGGCGGCGAUUGCUACAGGCAUUUGGGGUGAUGGAGCACGCUGGAAGUGGACGGCGCUGACGGCUGUCCAGUAUCGUCAGUAUAUUCAGUGCUGCUGAAUUGAGUCCUUUAAGGUCGUGAAUUUUAAGUGUAUUUUAGCCCAAGUUUUUAAAAAGUAAUCAUGCGGCUGAGAGCGCAGCUCCUAGGUCCAGUGUUUGCCUAGCAGGUGGGAGGCCCUAGGUUCCA
rnacentral:lncRNA from 1 species